CACGUAGGGAGCAAGCGUUGUCCGGAUUCAUUGGGCGUAAAGAGCUCGUAGGCGGCUCGGUAAGUCGGGUGUGAAACCUCUGGGCUCAACCCAGAGACGCCACCCGAUACUGCCAUGGCUAGAGUCCAGCAGGGGAGCGUGGAAUUCCCGGUGUAGCAGUGAAAUGCGUAGAUAUCGGGAGGAAUACCGAUGGCGAAGGCAGGUCUCUGGGCUAUAACUGACGCUCAUGCACGAAAGCGUGGGGAGCAAACAGG
rnacentral:rRNA from 1 species